UAAUAAAGUUAAUCUUCAAAAAUGUGAAAUAUGCCUUUAGUGUUAGCUUCUAUUGACGGAUUGAGCGGCCAAUGGCUGGCGCGGUCUGGUUUCGCGUCGGCCAAUGGGGUUGAUCGUCCCGCCCCUUUUUCAACAGCUGACGGUUGAUUCGUUCGGAGCGCGGCAGACAGGCUUGAGAGCUAACAGCUGACGGUUGUUUCCGUAAAGAGCUAGUAAGAAAUUGACGAAUCUGGAAAUUGAUCUCGGAGGGUUUCCCCCAUGAACAACUGAAGCCCGAAAAAUAGCCGUUGACGGCUCGGAGCAUCGGUGAGUCAUCGCACGCGCUCGGCAGUUGGGUCAGGUUUUUGGAGCUUGUAUGAUUCACUUUUGGCCUGGAGGGCCAGAGAUUCUCCUGAACCUGGAUGGAGCCCCAGCCCAGAGGACCAGGCGCACGGGUAGAUAGUGACCCGACUGGUCACCAGCUGAGAGACUUUGAGAAGAAUUGAUUCAUUGGAGACUGAAGUAUUCAAUUUAUUUAUUUAUUAUUUUUUUAAAGUGCGCAGUAUUUGUUUGUCUGUUUUA